UUCCGUAGGUAACCUGCGGAAGGAUCAUUA
rnacentral:rRNA from 1 species